AUUAUAAGGAAUGACAUAUCUAUUGUCUAGUGGUACACCCUUCUUAUCGAUGCUCCUACCAUCAUUCCUUCUCCUAUAUGUAGGAAUCUCUUCACUUCCGACCAUGCUGGAUUGCAUUUGAAAGUUAAAAAUAGGCCAGGAUAACCUAUGGAUCUACAUAUUGCCAUUGCAUCUUGAAAGUUUUGUAUCAUAUAUCUAGCACCUCUAGUAAAUGAGGAUGGAAGUAUGAUCUUUUUUCCUGUGCGAGAAGGAUCUGUCUCACCCCUAAUCAAUGCAUCCGUGAGACCUUUAUACAUGUCAACUCGUAGUUCUUUUUGAUGACUACGAAUGUAAUUAAGUCUAUCACUUUCUACCAUUGAAAAUCCAUCAACAAUGAAUUGUUGAAGUAAUCUUUUAGAGUGAAGUAGAAUAGAUUGCUCAUUAUUUCUAUCCAUCAACCUAAAAGACAAAUAUUCUCGCGGAGUAAAAGUCUUUUUUUUCUUAGUACGCUGAAGGCUAUUUUCAUUAUGUUGGAUGGUUGAAUCAUAACCAUUAUUUCCAUAGUGGAAAAUAAUAGGAUACUGUAGAGGAAGGUAUGCUUUGUGCAGUUCA